ensembl:snoRNA SNORA74 Small nucleolar RNA SNORA74
UCCAGCUAUAGGCAACUGUCUAGGUUGCCUUGUGCCUAGGUAAGUAUUACACUGCUGGGAGAAAAGCAGCCAGUAGCUGGUGGGAUUCUGGGCCUGGUUAAUACCAACUUUGUGUUAACUAAAGCUGUGUGUAGGCAGUUACCUUACACACACA